rnacentral:rRNA from 1 species
CCUACGGGUGGCAGCAGUGGGGAAUAUUGCACAAUGGGGGCAACCCUGAUGCAGCGACGCCGCGUGAGUGAAGAAGGAUUUCGGUAUGUAAAGCUCUAUCAGCAGAGAAGAAGAAAGACGGUACCUGACUAAGAAGCCACUGCUAACUACGUGCCAGCAGCCGCGGUAAUACGUAGGGGGCAAGCGUUACACGGUGUUACGGGGUGUAAAGGGAGCGUAGACGGCUGUGCAAGUCUGAAGUGAAAGCCCAGGGCUCAACCCUAGGACUGCGUUGGAAACUGUGGAGCUUGAGUGCUGUAGAGGUAAGUGGAAUUCCUAGUGUAGCGGUGAAAUGCGUAGAUAUUAGGAGGAAUACCAGUGGCGAAGGCGGCUUACUAAACAGUAACUGACAUUGAGGCUCGAAAGCGUGGGUAGCAAACAGGAUUAGAUACCCUUGUAGUC